CGGCCCCGGCGGAGCGCAGCUCUACGCGCUCUCACGCUCUCUUUUUCUCCUUCUUUCCUCCGCGCUGCCUCCGGGUGAGAUCUUCCCGCCGAGUCUGGGAGCGGGGCAUGAGGAGCCACCGGGUAUCGCCUGGAAACGACCCAACUGCGCUCACACCUUGCCAGCGGCUGACGGGGACAUGAGCAGCACACUCGGGGUUCGGCGCCCGGCGGUCAGCCUCAGCCGGCGGCGGCCAGUGGGUCCACACUGCCCAGGAGAAUGAGGCAGGAACCCGGCGCCACCUCUUUCUCGUCCUCCUCCUCUUCGCCUUCCUCUGGCUCCGGCGCCCCGGGCCCGGGUCGGGUUGUGGCUCUGCUGCAUGCCCUGCGCGCCCCCCACCUGCCUCCGGAUGCUCUUCUCGGUUAACCUGACGAGGAAGAUAAAGACAUUUGCAACCAAGAUGGUAAUCACGAGUGGAAAUGAUGAAGACCGGGGAGGCCAAGAGAAAGAGAGCAAAGAGGAGAGUGUGCUGGCCAUGCUGGGUAUCAUCGGAACCAUCCUGAACCUGAUCGUCAUCAUCUUUGUGUACAUAUACACCACUCUGUGAACGGCCUCCAGAUGACUGUGAGACGGGGGUCCUGUGUCUCCACACAUCAGUGACCAGACAGUGCAAGGGACCAGUGGGUUUGAAGGCCACACAUUGCUCCAUUAAUGUACCUUCGAACUUUCUAACAGGUCACCAAAUAAGCCUGUCCUGCUGCCAGGAGCAGAAAACUCUAAAGCACAAUGAAUUCAACCAAACUCAUUCAGGCCACAAGGAACUCAGUGUCUCUGACAGGGGACCUGGCAGAGCGCUGGGAAGACCAGCCAUUGGCACCAGGGGUGAGCAAACGGGUGAGGGAACUCCUCAUCGGGGAGUGCUGACCACAUCCCAUACUGAAAAGAACGAGUGGGGAGGGCGCAGCUCAGCUGCCCACCUCCCGCCUCCCGGGGCCAGCGCUCCAUCUUCACUUGAUAAGCUUUAGGGGCGGUUCACCGACAGGCAUCCCAUUCAUCAAAAGUAUCCAGCAAUUUGAUACCGGGAGAUAACUUAUUUUUCCUUUUCCAUUGGCUUGAUGUGUGUAUCUGUUCAUAUCAAGGUAUAUAAAUAUAUAUUUUUAAUAAAUGUGCUCUAUUUUUUAGCAUGAACCAAAUAUUUGGAAAGGCGCUUCUGGACACAUAGUGUUGCUCUUGGUUUUAACCACUUUGCUCCCUCAACUGCAGAGCCUCUUUUAGUUCUAGAGCCACCCUGGUCCUCCCAGCUCACCUCAGUUCUUUUAUCUUUGUGCUCUCCCUCCCCAUCUCUGCCCCCUCCCUCUCCCCCUCCUCUCUCUCCUCCCUCUGCCCCUCUACUCUCUCCUCCCCUCACCUUGCUUGGCUCUUCUCCUCUCCUGUCUCUCAUCUCUCUGUCUCUCCCCUCUUCUGUCUCUCCUGUCUCUCCUGUCUCUCCUCCUCUCUCUCCUCUCCUCCCCUCUGUCUCCCCUCUCCUCUUCUCAUCUCUCGUCUGGAGGCUAUUUUUCCAUAAUGCCAGCCAUAGUCUUGGUUGGUGCAUGUUUUAAGAUUGUCCAGCGGCUUUUUGUUGCUCUGUUGGAGAUAUAAAACGAUGUGGGCAUGCGGACCUUAGAUGCACCCUGUCUUUACUGAGAAUCAUGCAUGAACAAGGGCUGGGUGACAGAUCAGCUCUAAACAUGUUUCAAAAGGACUACCGCGGGGAAAGAUGAGCAAGGCCCUGCCUGCAGGUCACCUGUUGCAGGGAGCAGUCAGCAUCUCCCUGGCGGUGUUGCUCAUCCAUUCCUGUAACCAUUCGUUUAUCAGAUUUUGAUUUUCAUGACCAUGAGAGAUGGGAAAUGGGUCAGCUCAGUGUGAGGUGUGCCAUUCCUUUCUUAGCAAGAUGCAUGGGGAUCUCUUCAGAAGUUGGGAUAUGAAUGACCUGGAACCUCCCACUGUGAGAAUGCAAGUCAGCUCCAACUGUAAAGACACCUCAGUGACAGGGGCUUUUCAAGAGCCCUGGGAGGAGAUUUAAUGAUCUCUCUAAAGGAUUGCUGCAUGUUUAAAGCUGGUUUCUUCCCACAUGAAGCUAUUUCCUCCCUGAGGGCACGGUUGAAUAAAUACAAAUUUGCCCUGUUCUCCUGGUUCCCUGAUGUAGCCCUGGCCUGGCUGCAGUGGUGCCUGACCUUUAAGGGGAGGGUCAGUAUUCUUUCAGCCCUGGGUGGAAAGAGGAGCAGUUUUCCCAGUUGGAGUCAGAUGACACUGAUGGGGUGUCUUCCUCCAGAUCCCUUCUUCUUCCCUGGAAUUCUACCAUCGAGUCCUUUCUUGGGCUCUGCUAUGGGACCAGGCUUUUUUAUAAAGCAAACACCUGUGAGCACCUGGAUCUGGCACCAAUUCAUGAGUUAUGGCCUCUUCCCCACCAGAAGGAAGGAAGGUGAGGUAUGAUCUGAGCACUUUAUAUACAAGUCACUGAGCCUUCUUAGUGGCCUGUGAGAAGGAGCGUCUCCCUGGUGUGGAAACGGCUCCAAUCAGGAAUCUUCCUGGAGUUACUUGUCACCCAGAGGAAUCAGAUUCCAGUGUGGAUCUGUCCAGUGGGCCUUGGGGGAGAUGCUGGAGGGGAAGAGAGGAAGAGAGGCACCGGUAGCAGGGAAGCCUGUCGUUUUACUGAGGGCUACGCUCUGCACUCCCCAGUGCCCAUAACGGGAAACAACCCCAGGGACUCCUUGGACACUGACAGAAUAUCACACAAGUAGACACGGCACAGAGGCUGGUUAGAAAUAUGAGACACAGAGGGGAGGGCACUACCUACCGGACUGUGCGAUUCUGAAAGCUUGUGAAUUCUGGCAGUGAACAGAAUGAAAAAUAAAGGCACAAUGGGAAAGAAAA